UGCCAGCCGCCGCGGUAAUACGUAGGGUGCGAGCGUUAAUCGGAAUUACUGGGCGUAAAGCGUGCGCAUGCGGUUUUAUAAGUCAGAUGUGAAAUCCCCGAGCUCAACUUGGGAACUGCGUUUGAAACUGUAAGACUAGAGUGUGUCAGAGGGGGGUAGAAUUCCAUGUGUAGCAGUGAAAUGCGUAGAUAUAUGGAGGAAUACCAAUGGCGAAGGCAGCCUCCUGGCUCGAACACUGACACUGAGGUGCGAAAGCGUGGGGAGCAAACAGGAUUAGAUA
rnacentral:rRNA from 1 species